CCAUUUAAGGGAAAGUGGGUCGAAGGGCUUCCCCAGGGAAAGAAAAUGAGCUCUGGAGCCAAAUGCAGAAGAGGAAGCGAUUUCAUGCCCACUAUUAUUCUCAUCCUUCCAAAUAAGAUAAUCCAUUGUUUGGCGGGCUAAUGGUUAAGAAAGGUGGGGAUGCGCACAGGUAGCCCCAUCCCUGAGACCGUAUCUAAUUCCCUAGUGUGGUUCAGGCUAUCCUCCAGGCUGUGUGGGGGUGGGGGUGGGGUAGGGGUGUUGGGAACUCUCUCUAGCCAUGGGUAAUACAAGCCAGAACUGCAUGCAUUCUCACGCCCCAGAACUGGCGUCCCAGCCCAAGUGCGAAGUUGGGCGUUUCAACCUGAAAAGCAGAGUAAGAGCCAUUCAAAGCAGCAAGUUACAGUACCUUGAGAAGUCUGACAGAUGGGAGAAAGGCUGCGUGGCAUAGCUUCCGGAUGGUCCAAUUUAGGGGUCGAGAAGCAUCAGUCUGAUUCAUGACCCCUUCCAAAUUCCACCGGGAAGACAAGAAACUGCAAAUCUGGGCAGUGCCUAGAAAAUAAACGGUCCCCCACGGCCCUGGCAUCCCAUGGUCAUCUCCACACCUGCAAAUUCCAUUAGGGCAGAGGCUUCCUGGAACUUGGGAGUCUAGUCAAGUGGCGUUUCCUGAGCCCCUGAACCUUCUUAAGAAAGCCACCUCCCCUCUUCCUGCAGCCGUGCUCAUGCAUACCAAAUGUGGCCGAAUGGAGGCACGCUGCCUGCUGCUUCGGGGAGGGGGAUGCUUGAUUUCGAAGGAGAGGGACAGCCUGCACAAAACAGCCUGUGGUCGGAGUCAGAGGAGCCUGCUCCAGAAUGCGCGCUCCCUCUCCUGCUCUCCUCCUGCAAACACAGUGGGGAGAAGGACAUUUUGAAGUGUUGGCAGCUGGGAUGUCAGGCACGGUGCUGGGCACUUUUCAUCAUGUAGGAGAAGCCACUACAGAGAACCAGCGGGUAAAUACACACACCUGACAUUCCUGACAGCGUCCUCCACCCCUGCAACUGAAAGGCAACCACACAUCUAGAAAUAAGCUAUGAAACUAAUAUAUAAAAAAAAUGUGUUGCAUUGAAAAAUUAAAAGAUAUGCAAACAUCUUGUAUCUCACUAAAAAUA
ensembl:antisense Gm27151 predicted gene 27151